rnacentral:rRNA from 1 species
GAUGGACGCUGGCGGCGUGCCUAAUACAUGCGAGUCGAGCGAACAGACGAGGAGCUUGCUCCUCUGACGUUAGCGGCGGACGGGUGAGUAACACGUGGAUAACCUACCUAUAAGGCUGGGAUAACUUCGGGAAACCGGAGCUAAUACCGGAUAAUAUAUUGAACCGCAUGGUUCAAUAGUGAAAGACGGUUUUGCUGUCACUUAUAGAUGGAUCCGCGCCGCAUUAGCUAGUUGGUAAGGUAACGGCUUACCAAGGCAACGAUGCGUAGCCGACCUGAGAGGGUGAUCGGCCACACUGGAACUGAGACACGGUCCAGACUCCUACGGGAGGCAGCAGUAGGGAAUCUUCCGCAAUGGGCGAAAGCCUGACGGAGCAACGCCGCGUGAGUGAUGAAGGUCUUCGGAUCGUAAAACUCUGUUAUUAGGGAAGAACAAAUGUGUAAGUAACUAUGCACGUCUUGACGGUACCUAAUCAGAAAGCCACGGCUAACUACGUG